rnacentral:rRNA from 1 species
GACGAACGCUGGCGGCGUGCUUAACACAUGCAAGUCGAACGGAAAGGCCCUGCUUUUGUGGGGUGCUCGAGUGGCGAACGGGUGCGUAACACGUGAGUAACCUGCCCUUGACUUUGGGAUAACUUCAGGAAACUGGGGCUAAUACCGGAUAGGAGCUCCUGCUGCAUGGUGGGGGUUGGAAAGUUUCGGCGGUUGGGGAUGGACUCGCGGCUUAUCAGCUUGUUGGUGGGGUAGUGGCGUACCAAGGCUUUGACGGGUAGGCGGCCUGCGAGGGGGACCGGCCACAUUGGGACUGAGAUACGGCCCAGACUCCUACGGGAGGCAGCAGUGGGGAAUAUUGCACAAUGGGCGGAAGCCUGAUGCAGCAACGCCGCGUGCGGGAUGCCGGCCUUCGGGUUGUAAACCGCUUUCGCCUGUGACGAAGCGUGAGUGACGGUAAUGGGAAAAGAAGCACCGGCUAACUACGUG